rnacentral:rRNA from 1 species
UCCGUAGGUGAACCUGCGGAGGGAUCAUUACACAAUAUGAAAGCAGGCUGGGUCAAACCCCUACCAGAAAAGGGCAGUUCCUGCUGCUUCCGCCGCAAUUCGUUGCGGUGCUGAAGCGGCGUGGGGCGUACGUCUUUUUCUACCAGGGGCCAGCCUGACUACAUAUUCACCCAUGUCUUUUGCGUACUACUUGUUUCCUUGGUGGGCUCGCCCGCCAAUAGGACCCCAAUUUAAACCUUUUUGUAAUUGUAAUCAGCGUCAGCAAAAUUAAAGUAAUAAAAUUACAACUUUCAACAACGGAUCUCUUGGUUCUGGCAUCGAUGAAGAACGCAGCGAAAUGCGAUAAGUAGUGUGAAUUGCAGAAUUUAGUGAAUCAUCGAAUCUUUGAACGCACAUUGCGCCCCUUGGUAUUCCGAGGGGCAUGCCUGUUCGAGCGUCAUUACAACCCUCAAGCUCAGCUUGGGUAUUGGGGCCUGCCAGCCUGGCAGCCCUUAAAGUCAGUGGCGGUGCCAUCGGGCUCUCAGCGUAGUAAUUCUUUCUCGCUAUGGAGUCCCGGUGGGUGCUUGCCAUCAACCUUAAAAAACUUUCUAUGGGGUUGGACCUCCGGGGGAUCAGGGUACGGGGGAUG